UACGUAGGGUCCGAGCGUUGUCCGGAAUUAUUGGGCGUAAAGGGCUCGUAGGCGGUCUGUCGCGUCGGGAGUGAAAUCUUACAGCUUAACUGUGAACUUGCUUUCGAUACGGGCAGACUUGAGGCAUUCAGGGGAGAACGGAAUUCCUGGUGUAGCGGUGAAAUGCGCAGAUAUCAGGAGGAACACCGAUAGCGAAGGCAGCUCGCUGGGACGUUACUGACACUGAGGCGCGAAAGCGUGGGGAGCGAACAGG
rnacentral:rRNA from 1 species